CUGCACCUUCAGUUUGCAGUCCUUACCCAAGGUCACACCUCUGUUCACGUUUAAAGUCGACAUGUGGACCCUUGGACCGCUCACUCUGCAUGGACACACUGCUGGAUACAGGGUGAUGUCCAUCUUUGAGGUCAACAUGUGGACCCUUGGACCAAUCGCUCUCCAUGGAGACACAGCUGGGUACAGGCGAGUCCCGUUUGCGGUGUUUGAUCUUCCUAUUAUAUAUAAUAAUUCAACUUGAGUGCUUAACUAGAAGAGAUAAGAUGAUGCGUCAUGGGUGGUUGGUCAUCUCACCUCUGCAGUUUGGUUCGACUCUCAUGUUCCCCGCACUGAUCCAUAGCAGAACCCAAACCUUCACACAAGUCAGAUUUAACAUCACAGG
ensembl:lncRNA